rnacentral:rRNA from 1 species
UACGGAGGGUGCAAGCGUUAUCCGGAUUCACUGGGUUUAAAGGGUGCGUAGGCGGGCAGGUAAGUCAGUGGUGAAAUCUCCGGGCUUAACCCGGAAACUGCCGUUGAUACUAUCUGUCUUGAAUAUUGUGGAGGUAAGCGGAAUAUGUCAUGUAGCGGUGAAAUGCUUAGAUAUGACAUAGAACACCAAUUGCGAAGGCAGCUUACUACACAGUUAUUGACGCUGAGGCACGAAAGCGUGGGGAUCAAACAGG